rnacentral:pre_miRNA from 1 species
CUUUGUAUUCUUCCACAGCUUUCUUGAACUGCAUCUAGCAUAAGAGAUCUGAUCUUUGCAUUUGAGGCAGAGGUUGCUCUAGAUUUUGGUUUGUGGUUCAAUAAAGCUGUGGGAAGAUACAAACA